CAGGCAGGCAGCUGGCAUCAGCUGGCAUGGUUUUGUGUGACUGUUGUUGUGUGUCUGUGUGUGCGCUCGGCGUUCAGCUGCUCAGCGAGCACACACGUCUGUGUGAACACAACAAAGAGGCGAGAGCGGCGGGGCGCUCAGAGGGGCCGAGAGGCUGAAGAAAAACACUUCAUUAGACAGCGCUCAAACGGAGAGAGGAUACAGCUGAGUGAGUCACAGAGCUGGUUUAUUACUGCUCAGGUGUUUCACACAGGAGAGUUAACAGGUGUCACAUGUCAGUGCAGCCGCUGCUACAGGUUCUACUGUCUUUGUCUCCGGAUACAAAAACUAAAGUCAUGCAACACAUCUGCACUGUAAGACCGAACAGUAAAAGCCUGUCAAAAAAAAUGGGUUGUCUAAACUCGGAAAUUCAAAAUACUUUUUAGAACGCGUUUUUAGUUUCAAGUAAACAGUGCUCAACCAAUUUAAUUAUUUUUCAUAAUUGUACUCAAAUUAUUUGAUCUGCUCUGCAUGACGUCACGGUCACGUACAUACGUGCUCUCACCUGAAGGAGAGUCCGCCAUGUUUGCUCUCGCAUCGAGUCAGUAAGAAUGAGCCAGACACGCAGAGUGAACUUUACAACUUUACAACAAUUUGGACACAACAAGGAGAUAUUGUUUAGUUCAUGGAGCAAAUCGCAGACUUUUGAAGGGACUUUUGUUCGGACAUGCAGGAGUUUUCUGUCUCUACUCUGCUGAAUGCACUGACUGCUGUAGCAUUGUUGCUAUCUUUGAGCUAAUCUGGCUUAAACACAAGCAACUUGGUUAUAUCUGGAGUACGCAAUCUGACCACCUUUUCCCUGAGAUGUAAAGAGGUCAUCAAUGAUGACUUGCCUGUUGGAGACAUCCUGGAGUGCUGGCCUGCCCUAAAGAUGGAGUCACCGAUCUGUGCAAAGUUUCACAGCAUUACAAACAUCAACCUGAAAAACCACUUCUAUGCUGAGUUAGACAGACUUGUCUUGAGGGUUUGUUCUGGAAAGCUGCACGCACAGGGAAGGUAUCCGAAGUCCUGGAUCAGCUCUUCCACACUUAUGACCUCCAGAAACAAGUUGACAUCAGUGUCCAGCAUGCUGCCGUCCUCCACGCUCUCCCUACAUAUCUGUAUGAGGAUGACUCCAGGUUUCUGAAGCUGUUGGAUGUGGCCCUGUCAGAUGAAUGCAAAUCAACAACAUACCAGCCGGGCUCCUCAUGAUCAGUGCCACUUCAACAGAUGAACCAGAUCUUCUGCCCCGAGAAGGUUGCAGUUGUGCUUGAGGCUAACACAGUUGUCGAUUUCCCCACAUUUUCUGAAGCAUUUGUCAUGCUUUUUGCACUAAUUUAUGCACUGCAUCUAAGUUACCCAAAAGACUGGGUCAAUACAUUUCAAAAAAAUGUUAAUGGGCCUCGAGGAUGGCAAGUUGAAGCCUAGGUUAUUGAGCACACACACACACACACACACACACACACACACACACACACACACACACACACACACACACAAUGUAAAACUUCACUGAAUUAUUUCUGUUCGUUGACUUGUGUAAUUUUGGAAUUGCAAAGAGCAGUGAAAAAAUGCCUGUUGAACUCGGAAGUUUGAAUGUUUCUGUUGGAAAUGCUUUGGUUUUUGUGGUGUAUUUUAAACGUUUUCCACGUGUAUUAAGUCGUGAUUGGCUUUGUUUUAUAUCAAGGAACAGAAUCUGCCCAUUAGUUAGUACUAGUAAACUAUUCUUAUUCAUACUGUUUCUGAACUAUUGCUGAGUCUUUCUGAAAUCAAUAGCAGACUUUCUUUGGUUGAAGUUUGAUAUCAUAUCUAUAGUUUAUUUUGCUCCUGUGUGGUGUUGUGAGGACAGGUCAGGAGAUACAAUCUUUACUCAGGUAUAUGUCAUUCUGAUGGUUUGACAUGCUGCUUGUACUGACCCAAUCAUUUUAAUAUUUACAAAUGUUUGUUAGUACGUUAAAUCUUGAACUGGGGAUAAUGUAAAUGUUUUGAUCAUAAAUAAUCAUAGGCUGUUUGCCAAAGUCCUUUCACUAAAAUUUUCUGGUAGGUUUUUUUCAUAAUCACUGUAAUGUUUGGAUGAUGUUUUAGUCAUUUAAUAAAGUGAUUUGCAUUUAAA